GAUGAACGCUAGCGGCAGGCUUAAUACAUGCAAGUCGAGGGACAGCACAGGUAGCAAUACUGGGUGGUAACCGGCAAACGGGUGCGGAACACGUACACAACCUUCCUUUAAGUGGGGGAUAGCCCAGAGAAAUUUGGAUUAAUACCCCGUAAUAUAGUUGAAUGGCAUCAUUUGAUUAUUAUAGCUACGGCGCUUAAUGAUGGGUGUGCGGCUGAUUAGAUAGUUGGCGGGGUAACGGCCCACCAAGUCUACGAUCAGUAGCUGAUGUGAGAGCAUUAUCAGCCACACGGGCAAUGAGACACGGGCCCGACUCCUACAGGAGGCAGCAGUAAGGAAUAUUGGUCAAUGGACGCAAGUCUGAACCAGCCAUGCCGCGUGAAGGAUUAAGGUCCUCUGGAUUGUAAACUUCUUUUAUUUGGGACGAAAAAGGGCCUUUCUAGGUCAACUGACGGUACCAGAUGAAUAAGCACCGGCUAACUCCGUGCCAGCAGCCGCAGUAAUAC
rnacentral:rRNA from 1 species